GGCCUAUGUGCUAGGAUGAGGAGCCAAUGGGGCGAAGCUACCAUCUGUGGGCUUAUGAAUGAACGCCUCUAAGUCAGAAUCCCCCCUAGAUGUGAUGAUACCAUAGUGCCCGGGCUAUACGAUUGUUCAAGGAUAACCGACCCCUCUGGGGGCCGGCGCAGAA